rnacentral:rRNA from 1 species
UACAGGGGGUGCAAACGUUGCUCGGAAUCAUUGGGCGUAAAGCGCACGUAGGCGGUUCGUUAUGUCGGAUGUGAAAGCCCUUGGCUUAACCGAGGAAGUGCAUCCGAAACUGGCGAGCUAGAGUACUAAAGAGGAUCGCGGAAUUCCCGGUGUAGAGGUGAAAUUCGUAGAUAUUCGCAAGAACACCAGUGGCGAAGGCGGCUCACUGGCCCGGUACUGACGCUGAGGUGCGAAAGCGUGGGGAGCAAACAG